GAAAGCGACCAAAGUAAAAAAGGAACUACGUGAGCGAUCCAAGUUGGAUGGACCGUUUGCACAAUCAAAGAGACGCCGGUAUCUCCCUUACGAAGCGCAAGGCCUCUCAUGCACGUCGUGAGCAAUUUUGAAUCAAAAGCUUUGGCUGUAGAAAAAGAGCCGUCGUUUUCAGUCGUGAGAGCACAAGAUGAGGAGGAUUUUGUGCUCUCGAGGAACCCCUCCUUUCUUGUGUAGUAAAAUAAAUGAGGGGCUGCGUGGCUUCUUCCAAUGUCAAACUUAUGCCAGCCUGGGAACUUGUUUCUCAAUGUUAUCAUGCACACAAACGUGUAGUAGUUUCUUAUUUUUAUUUUUAUUUUUCUACAAUUUUUUAAUAGGAUGAAUUUCCCUUUUUAAGGAAUAUGUAUCUAAGGUGGUAGUGGGUAUGGUUGGCCGUCAUAUAUUUCCAGUGGUAAGUGUUCUAUACCUGAAAAUUCAGAUAGACACCUUAAAAACUUCUAGCAUUUCAAAACUCUUUAAUGAAAUUAUAAAGUUCAUUAUUUA